AAAUGAAUAGACGGGGGCCCGCACAAGCGGUGGAGUAUGUGGUUUAAUUCGAAGCAACGCGAAGAACCUUACCUAGCCUUGACAUGCUCGGAACCCUGGUGAAAGCCGGGGGUGCCCUUCGGGGAGCCGGGACACAGGUGUUGCAUGGCUGUCGUCAGCUCGUGUCGUGAGAUGUUCGGUUAAGUCCGGCAACGAGCGCAACCCCUAUCUCUAGUUGCCAGCAUUAAGUUGGGCACUCUAGCGAGACUGCCGGUGUUAAGCCGGAGGAAGGUGGGGACGACGUCAAGUCAUCAUGACCCUUACGGCUAGGGCUACACACGUACUACAAUGGCCAGCACAAAGUGUUGCGAACCCGCGAGGGGGAGCCAAUCACAAAAAACUGGCCCCAGUUCAGAUUGCAGUCUGCAACUCGACUGCAUGAAGGUGGAAUCGCUAGUAAUCGUGGAUCAGAAUGCCACGGUGAAUACGUUCCCGGGCCUUGUACACACCGCCCGU
rnacentral:rRNA from 1 species